rnacentral:rRNA from 1 species
CCCGAAACCAGGUGAUCUACCCAUGUCCAGGAUGAAGGUAAGGUAAUACUUACUGGAGGUCCGAACCCACGCACGUUGAAAAGUGCGGGGAUGAGGUGUGGGUAGCGGAGAAAUUCCAAUCGAACUUGGAGAUAGCUGGUUCUCUCCGAAAUAGCUUUAGGGCUAGCCUCGAGGUAAAGAGUCAUGGAGGUAGAGCACUGUUUGGACUAGGGGCCCUUCUCGGGUUACCGAAUUCAGAUAAACUCCGAAUGCCAUGUACUUAUACUCGGGAGUCAGACUGCGAGUGAUAAGAUCCGUAGUCGAAAGGGAAACAGCCCAGACCACCAGUUAAGGUCCCCAAAUAUAUGUUAAGUGGAAAAGGAUGUGGGGUUGCUUAGACAACCAGGAUGUUGGCUUAGAAGCAGCCACCAUUGAAAGAGUGCGUAAUAGCUCACUGGUCGAGUGACCCCGCGCCGAAAAUGUACCGGGGCUAAACAUAUUACCGAAACUGUGGAUGAACCUCUUUAGAGGUUCGUGGUAGGAGAGCGUUCUAAGGGCGGUGAAGUCAGACCGGAAGGACUGGUGGAGCGCUUAGAAGUGAGAAUGCCGGUAUGAGUAGCGAAAGAAGGGUGAGAAUCCCUUCCACCGAAUAUCUAAGGUUUCCUGAGGAAGGCUCGUCCGCUCAGGGUUAGUCGGGACCUAAGCCGAGGCCGAUAGGCGUAGGCGAUGGACAACAGGUAGAGAUUCCUGUACCAGUGCUAAUUGUUUAACCGAUGGGGUGACACAGAAGGAUAGGGAAUCGCACGAAUGGAAAUGUGCGUCCAAGCAGUGAGUGUGAGAAGUAGGCAAAUCCGCUUCUCGCGAAGCAUGAGCUGUGAUGGGGAAGGAAAUUAAGUACGGAAGUUCCUGAUUUCACGCUGUCAAGAAAAGCCUCUAGGAAGAGUAGUACUGCCCGUACCGCAAACCGACACAGGUAGAUGAGGAGAGAAUCCUAAGGUGAGCGAGAGAACUCUCGUUAAGGAACUCGGCAAAAUGACCCCGUAACUUCGGGAGAAGGGGUGCUCUAUUAGGGUGCAAGCCCGAGAGAGCCGCAGUGAAUAGGCCCAGGCGACUGUUUAGCAAAAACACAGGUCUCUGCAAAACCGUAAGGUGACGUAUAGGGGCUGACGCCUGCCCGGUGCUGGAAGGUUAAGAGGAGUGCUUAGCUUCGGCGAAGGUACGAAUUGAAGCCCCAGUAAACGGCGGCCGUAACUAUAACGGUCCUAAGGUAGCGAAAUUCCUUGUCGGGUAAGUUCCGACCCGCACGAAAGGCG